AACGAACGCUGGCGGCAGGCCUAACACAUGCAAGUCGAGCGAGCAUUUCGGUGCUAGCGGCGGACGGGUGGGUAACGCGUGGGAACGUGCCCUUUUCUGCGGAAUAGUCCUGGGAAACUGGGGGUAAUACCGCAUACGCCCUUUUGGGGAAAGAUUUAUCGGAGAAGGAUCGGCCCGCGUUGGAUUAGGUAGUUGGUGGGGUAAUGGCCCACCAAGCCGACGAUCCAUAGCUGGUUUGAGAGGAUGAUCAGCCACACUGGGACUGAGACACGGCCCAGACUCCUACGGGAGGCAGCAGUGGGGAAUCUUAGACAAUGGGGGCAACCCUGAUCUAGCCAUGCCGCGUGAGUGAUGAAGGCCUUAGGGUUGUAAAGCUCUUUCAGCUGGGAAGAUAAUGACGGUACCAGCAGAAGAAGCCCCGGCUAACUCCGUG
rnacentral:rRNA from 1 species